GCUCAAGUUGCUGCAGAUAAAUCUGGGAAGUGAAGAAAUACUAGAAACUUCCUUAAGUAGUUUAAGUAAACUCCUUUACUGAGAAGGUCUUAGAAACCCUUCCCUUUGCUGCGCUCCGAAAAUCGCAACCUUGCUGGGCUUCUGGUUGCCGAUCUAGUUUUUGCCCUCCCGCUUCUUCAUUAGGUCCUUGAGAGAGCUGUGAAACACAGAUCUAUCCUGUUCAGUGCUGCGGGCCCGCGCUCUGGAAAGUUUCUGCAUUUCUUUGAGCGGCUGCUUUCCCCACCGAGUUUCCCGGGGCCCGGGCACCCGCAGCCCUCCUCUCUCUGCAGAACGUGAGGGGCGUGAGCAGUCGGGCGGUGGGCUCGUCUCUCCCCGGCUGCUGCCCAUGCAGCCAUCUCUCAUUCUCCUCUCCCUAGUGAGCCCUUCUGGAAGAAAUUGGGCCCUAAGUGUGGUCUCAGCUCUCUCAAGUGAUGGGGAGCCUUGGAGAUGGUUUGAGAACCAAGUUCUGCACGCUAGUAUCCAUUCUCCCAACUGAUAAUGACGCUUCAGUUGCCCGUAAGGAAGACCCUCCUUCCCCCAUUGGAUACAACCUUACUUCGACUGUUACUCAAGGUGUCCUACCCUCCUCUGGCCAGUGGCUCUUUUUGGAAAAUUCCCUACGAGAACCGAAAUUUAAACCCAUUUACUUUAUAAGAAGCAGCAGAAAGAACUUACUUUUUUGAUGUGUGGAAGAACGUUUGUCAAUUCCCAAUGCUGUGAUUACUCGAAGAUGCCAACAAUGAUUCUGUGAUAAUAUAUGUCGCUCUUCCCAGUCUUCAUGCACCUGCAGGGCUGUCAACACUGGGAGGACUGGAAGAAAUUUGUAAAGAGUCUGGGAGUCUUCAGAGAGGAAAAGAGUGCAGACCUGGACUCCUCCUUUUCCAAUGUCUUUAUUAUUAGAAGGUUUUCUAUGCAUUGAGCCGGUUCUGAUUAAGAAAGGAUCUAAUAAGAAGGAACAUUGAAGACCUUAAGCUGUUAGCCCUGCUGUGGCCGGCAUUACCCGAUGGGACAGGCUAUCCGGUCAUGGGCACGACUGGAGGCAGAAGGCCCUCCUGACCCGGCCACUGUGCUCUGUAAACUAAAAAGCUGUUGGCGCGGAUGCCAUGUCUUACCUCUGAGGAGCAGGCUGCUUCUCUCUUGACGAAUCGCUGUGGCCACUAUUGGAAUCUGCAACAGCAAAGGCCAGCGCACACCAGGCGAAAAGGUCACCCUGGCCUGUGGGGGAUCCGUUUUCAUCAGUAAACGGUGCCAGGAGCAGAACACCAGCAGCCUUCAGCUUGUAUUCUCUCAGACUCUCUGGUUUUCUCCCUCUGAGGUGGAUCAAGAGGCCCCCAGAGUUUUUGAACAAUUUGAUAGACAAGAGAGACCUUGGACUCCCUGCUAGUCUGGCAAUUGAGAAGUGGUUUUAAUUUGGAAAAAAUAACAGGUGGGACCUCAUUUUUACCCAAAACUAUUGAAGUAGAUCCUACUAUUACCACAUG
rnacentral:lncRNA from 1 species